GCCCUCUUCGGCAGGACAGAUACUAAAACCGGAAUGAUACAAGGGUCAUUAGCAUGGCCCCUGCACAAGGAUAGCAUGCAAAUUCAUGAAGCAUUUCAUAUUUAA